AGAAGGAUUGCUGGGUCAUAUAGUAAGUGUGUUUAACUUUAUUAGAAACUGCCAAAUUGUUUUGCAGAAUGAAAGUACCAUUUUGCAUUUCUAACAGCGAU
rnacentral:pre_miRNA from 1 species